AUACUUACCUGGCACAGGAGAUACCGUGAUCACGAAGGCGGUUCUCCCAGGACGAGGCUCACCAUUGCACUCCGGUGGGGCUGACCCCUGCGAUUAACCCAAAUGUGGUUACUCGAGUUCUCAAUUUUUGUUAGUCGUGGGACUGCGUUCGCGCUAUCCCCCA
rnacentral:snRNA from 1 species